GUGCUUGCGCUGGCAGCACAUGAACUAAAACCGGAACGACACAGAGAAGAUUAGCAUGGCCCCUGUGCAAGGAUGGCAUCCUUCACAUGCUAAAAUCUAACUUUUCAA
ensembl:snRNA U6 U6 spliceosomal RNA